rnacentral:misc_RNA from 1 species
AAAUCCCCCCUCUUGAAUUUCGACAAGGAACAGAAGCUAUCUUUCGGAACUUAAUCUGCUUGGAGCAGUGUUUGAGCAACUGCCCCCAUGGAAUUACUUCUUAUGUGGCACUUAUGGGAUGCCUCAUCAACAGUACCAUGGACUUCGAUUUACUNUUUUUGAUAACUGGAAGAAUCCUGAGGAUGUCUCCAAUUUCUUCAAUAAGGCAAUCUACCCU